rnacentral:tRNA from 1 species
ACCCUAGAUAAGUGGUUUAAGGGUUUGGCUCUCACAGCAAGACCUGAAGGUUCUAGGUUCGAUUCUCAGUGGGGUUG